rnacentral:rRNA from 1 species
CCUACGGGAGGCAGCAGUGGGGAAUAUUGGACAAUGGGCGAAAGCCUGAUCCAGCAAUGCCGCGUGAGUGAUGAAGGCCUUAGGGUUGUAAAGCUCUUUUACCAGGGAUGAUAAUGACAGUACCUGGAGAAUAAGCUCCGGCUAACUCCGUGCCAGCAGCCGCGGUAAUACGGAGGGAGCUAGCGUUGUUCGGAAUUACUGGGCGUAAAGCGUACGUAGGCGGUUAUUCAAGUCAGAGGUGAAAGCCUGGAGCUCAACUCCAGAACUGCCUUUGAAACUAGAUAGCUAGAAUCUUGGAGAGGUGAGUGGAAUUCCGAGUGUAGAGGUGAAAUUCGUAGAUAUUCGGAAGAACACCAGUGGCGAAGGCGACUCACUGGACAAGUAUUGACGCUGAGGUACGAAAGCGUGGGGAGCAAACAGGAUUAGAUACCCUGGUAGUCCACGCCGUAAACGAUGAUAACUAGCUGUUCGGGCUCUACGAGCUUGAGUGGCGCAGCUAACGCAUUAAGUUAUCCGCCUGGGGAGUACGGUCGCAAGAUUAAAACUUAAAGGAAUUGACGGCUGAGAGNGCGACGACGACGACGAGGAGAG